rnacentral:lncRNA from 1 species
UUUCUAACAACAUUUACUUAAAAACAAAAUUCUUGUAUUCUUCAUGUAGGGUCAGUAUUCAAUUGCACAAAAAUAUGCAGCCAACUUAAGAACUAUAUAUAAGAUUAAGACACCUGGUAUUUCAUGGUAAAUGAUUAAAUUAACUAACACAGUUAUAUCCUGAACUUUGCCAUUAGGAAUGACAAUUUUGUUCGAUAUGCAUUGAGGAUUGUGGGUAAUCUAAACUGGUAUGAGCUUUUUCUCUUUGAAACUCAAACAGAAUUAAGGAACAGCAUUCUCUGCAAACAGAAUAUGGAGUUUGAGAACAGCCACAAAAAAUUCUCUUGUAGUAAGCUGAACUGCCCUAGGAGUACUCAGGAAUUAGACAACUCAGGAAUUAGAGAAUUAGAGAACUGGAGAAAUGAGGGGGCGUGGAUAGUAGGGAGAGAAAAAUUGAUUAAUUGAUUUACUAUAUUUUUCAAAUAGAAGUAUCUGGGAAAAUAAGACAAAACAAGCAGAGUUGUUUCUUUUUCACAGUGAAGCCCCAGAGGGGUGAAAGCUUUGUUCUCCCUGGGUAGCAAGCUCUUUUUUCACAUUUCCGACUGCAUAUUCCAUAUUUAUGAUGAUUUUUGGUCUCUCUGUUCCUGGCUUGCUAGGUGGCAAGGGCAGUUAGAGAAAAAAGGCAGAUUUAUGAAACACAGAAAAAUUUCUGACUGAAAUCAGGCUUGGAUUUGUGAAUCACUGUUUUUUCCCCCUGUGGUCACUCCUGUGAUGAGGUCAACUGCUUCAAUCCUUUAGGUUUUGUAGACAGGUUUCCGGAUUCCAGGAGUCCCAGAAGGUCCAGGGAGCGCUCCCCACAUUUUAGCCAGAAGUAAUUAACUAAAACAUAAAGGCCCCACUUUCUCUUUUCACACUUUGAGCCACAGAUCAUCUAAUUCCUAGCUUGAGACAUCAGAUUUCAGAUCAUUAGUGCAAAGCAUCUUCCACAGGAGGCAAUAAAAUGUCACUUUAUGUAACUCAGCUACAGUUACACUGCCUUCAGAAAGCAGGAAUCUCCCUGAAAACAAAUUUACAUGAAAACAGUCCCAUUGUUUGAGAAUUUAUGCAAAUGUUGCACAAAGGGGUUUGAUAGUGAUUUUAAAAACUUAAAUCUUUAUCACUGCCUCAAAGAUAUCCUGAGAAACUUGGUUACCUCUAAAGAAUUCCAUUGCACUUAUUUUUUAAAAUGCCUAUAAUAUAGAGUUGUUUUAAAAAUUUUCCCUAAACUCUAAACUUCUUUCUCAGCUUCAAAGCCUUCCGUAAUGAAUAUCCUAAAGAGAGCCUAGUGCAUAUUGGUUUAACACUUACUAGGAUCACUCAUUACUAGUUAAGAAAAUUGAAGAUAACAACCAUAGCACCAAGUAUUUUGAACAACAUAAAAUGUUUCUCCCGUGGGUGUAGCUCUUAGGGACCGCAUGGGGAUACACACCCCUCAGUGCUCAAUCAGCAAAAGAUGAAGCUGUAAGUGUCUCAAUCCAUGUUGAUUGACUCUGAACUCCCCAGUGUUAGGAAUCUGGAUGUGUCCAUUACUGCAUGUUCAAACAAUGAACUGCCUGCACCAGAAAUCUGAUUUCUGUAGAAAGACAUUAAGGGGCUGGGUGAGGAAUAGGGUGUCAACCAAACGUUGUGAUAUUUUCCUUUGAUUUUCACUUUCUUUAAAUUCUUUUCCAUUUACUACCUAGUGACUGUCUGGCAUUGGUACCCUCAGUUUCUUUUCUUCUGCUUUUCCUCCUAAUUCAGUGUGGAAGAUGAUCAAAGUAUGACAUUUCUUCUACCCCAGAGGCUGGCAUUUCUGCAGGCACAAAUGAGCUUGGUUUUCAAGCACUGCUCUUUGAACACAAGGAAUUCCUUUAAUGAUCACGCCGGACUAUAUAGACUUUGGAAUCAGACUCUUUGAAUUCCAGCUCUGCCAUUUACCAACUUUGACACUUUGGACAACGUCUCAUUCUGUCACCCAGGCUGGAGUGCAGUGGCACAAUUAUAGCUCACUGCAGCCUCAAACACCUGGGCUCAAGCAAUCCUUCCACCUCUGCCUCCUGAGUAAUUGGGACUACAGGGUUUUGGAAAUCUGGAUUGUAGCAGGGCAUUGUAAGUUAAAAAAUCAUCUUCCCAUUCUGUUCUUUGCAAAGAUAUUUCUGUUCCUUAAAUUUGUUGAGGGUAAGAGAUUGCAGAUUGCUUCUGUGGACUUCUUGAAGGUGGAUCUGCCUGUUGGUGGAGAACCCUAGACUGCAUGCAGCCAUGCACAUGAUCUGGAGACACAGCAGGUUGUACCAGAAGCAGGGCUGAGGAGGCCUUAGGAAACUUAAAAUCAUGGCGGAAGGCAAAGGGGAAACAGGUCAUCCUCAGCAUUUAUACUCUCUCUCCUUUUGUGCCCCCAUGGACCAAGUUAAGAAGGUGUAGGCUUCAAAUCUUAAGAUCGGUCACCACAAAAUUCAAAAAGACAAGGUCUUUGUCUGUUGCUCAGGAUGGAGUGUAGUGGUGCCAUAGCACACUGUAAUCUUGAAUUUCUGGACUACUGGCAUACACCACCAUGCUUAGGUUCGGGCCACAACAUCCGUGACUUUACCGGUUUUGGUCUCUUCCUUGUAACUUUCGGCUCCAGGAUGCUGCGCAGCUCCUCUCUGCACUAUCUAUCAGAACGUUGCUCUGCGUGCUUGAAAGUUUCGCCAAACAGAAGUACACAAAAACAAACAGAGGCGAAACACAAAUCCCCUCAGCCCUGGAGGAAAAGGCCUUGAAGCUCUUCCAGUGCAGAGGCCACGCAGAGGACAUGCUCCUACCUGUGCACAUCGGCCACGCCUGGGGUGCCUCCUGGAGUCCAGGCUGCUGGCGAUGGAAUCCAUCAUGUUGCUGAUGUCACUACUCUCAACUCCUGAUGGCAUCAGAACACAGGCAGCAUCAAGAUCAGGCUCAAGAUGCAGGAUUUUAUCAUCCAAAUCAGGCCCACAUAUGGAUGAAACCCUUCAGGUAUUCUGCACAUCUCUCAGGAAACCCAGAUGAAAUUGAGUGCCUGCUGCCCACAUCAGCAACCCAGACAUCCCACUUGAUUCUGCUUCUGGAGCCUAAGAUGGGAAAAUGGCAGGUGUCGCAGGUUGCAGGGGAAGGUCGGAGACCAGUUGAGGGCCCCGGAGUCUGUCUGGAAAGAGUUUUCCAUCCAGCCCGUCUCGGUUUCCGCAUCCGUGUGAGUCCUUUAUGACGUCGGGAAUGCCAAGGUCUGAGUCCUUUAUGAUGUUCAGGGUGCCCCGGUCUCACCCCGGGAGCCUCCUCGCUCCGGCCUGCUCCUGGCUACCCGGUGGGCGGCUCUGGCCCCAGCGACCCGCUACUGUUUCUCCAUGCGCUGCCACUUCGCAAAGGCACAUCUCUAGGUCAGUGGUCAGCUGCAGCCAGGGCGCUGCAACUCGCUCCAGGACUCGGGAAUCAGGGCCUUGGUGGGCCUCGCAGAGUGCUGGGUGUGUCGCCUGCGGGCUCCUCUUUUGGAGAAAGGAGGGAGGGAAAGGCCUUGUGAGACGACUCCAGGAGCGACCAGCGACCCCCACAAGGCCCAAGUCCUCCCAGCGCACUCAGAAACAGUCACUUAAAUGGCAAUAAGGUUGAGAAAGACUCUCCCGUGCCCCCGUGCUGGUGUAGUGGCUGUGAUUCAGUCCUUUCACCACCGCAUCCCGGGUUCGAUUACCGGUCAGGGAGUUGUUUUGCACUGACUGCCCACCCGCAGUAAUCUUUCUUUACUCCGCUGUCAGCCGGCCUGCUCCAAGAGCCAGAGGCAGAAGAGUCUCCCUGCAAGGUGCAAACCCUGGCGAAGGAGGGCAAGUCCUGGUGGACGGCCUCUCAUGACACACCCUCUUAUUUAUCUCCGUGUCCACCAUUCGCAGAAGGGGCUUUAGAGAGCGACUGAGCGUCUCGCUCAGGUGUACACCACCGUGCAGAGAUGGCAGCUCUCCUGGAGGUGUACCCAAGAAGCCCACCAUCUUUGCCGCCUCCGCCAUCCCAGAGGCGCCGAUUGGGCUGAGCUGCAAAUAACUAAGAGAGAGAGAGGCCAAGCCAAGUCGUGGCGUUUGUGUGCGGCACACGUCGUCAGCUGACACAGGCGGUCAGCUGAGCCUCCUCACCUCAGUUCGCAGCUAACAUGCUUCUUAGGCCUUCGGAAGAGGCGACAGGAGGCGAUGGCCGCGAGGUUGGGAGGGGGGUGAGCGGCGGGUGAGGUCCUCCAGGACCGCCCAUUUAUUGACUGGGUGGUACAGGAGGGCGAUGUUCGCUUACCCAACAACGACAGCAGGUGGAGUAGGCACUAAUGGAAAACUGUGGCCGGUGCCCUAAGCAGAAGGCAGGUGUAAAAAUCACUAGGACAUCAAAGGGAUAGUACCACAGUCAAAUCCCGCAAUGUCUGUCUACACUCUACCAAGCAAUUGUGCACCCUCCCCCUUUUCCAUUCAGUACUCCCAAGAAGGGUUGGGACGAACCCUGUGUCCACUGUAAAGCUCAGGGGAGAGCGGGAGCGAGGGAGGUGAAGUGCACAGACUGGGCAGAGGCGGCGGGCAGAACUGCGGGGGUGAGAGGGCGCGGUGGCUGCGGGGCGGGAGCCUCUGCUGAAAGGAGGCCUGGGUUGUCCUGUGGGUGACUGUUGGUGGAAUCUUUGGCAGCGAGUGGUUGGAAGAAUGGCGACGGGCGAGCAGAGGGGAAGGUGGUGACCCUGAGCGUCUGGCUAGGGGAGAGGAGGCUGUACUGACACUCGUCUCCUCUUACCUGGCGAGGGACAGACCGUGGUCAAGAAGGGAGCUCUCCCUGGUUGAGGCUAGUCCACCACACUCCAGCUGCUCUGACCCCUGCGAUUUCCCUACACGCGGGGCGCUUGUCUGCGGUGGUGUUUGCGCUACCCGGGGGCUGGGUUCACGCAGGCUCCUGACAGUCCUUGGCUCACCGCCCCCGACGCGGAUAUCGCCGCUAGAGACCCUUCCGCCACCCUCCUAGGGAUCUUGAGGGCCUUCCUUGUUGUUCCGACUGAAGCUCACGAACAGACAGAUGUGAGCUCUCUGUCUUUUACACGUUGAAUUUGGCUAUUGGCAAAAAAAGCCCUGACCCAGAGCUUGGGACUCCUCCCGGCCUGCACACGACUUCCCGACUCUUGCCUCCUAGCGCGGCUCUUGGCUAGCGGGCGGGCAGCCUCCACCCAGCGUAGAACCGCGGCAGCCGCAGCCCCCGCAGGCUGGCGGUCAGACACUAGCAGGAAAAGGGACACAAGGCCUGCGUGGUGGGAAAGCAUGGGAGACGUCGCUUUCCCACCAGGCGAGAAGGUCUCCCUACAGUCUUUGGACAGAAGAUGGAGGGAGGCACCCCUUCCAGGAGCAAGGCGGCUGCUCCUGAGGCCUGGCUCCGCACGGAGGCUCCUGGGUCCCGCGCGCCCUCUCCCUACCGGUUAUAGCCAGAGCUGCUUCACACAUCUCAGCCGGCUUCCUCUUCCGCCUCUGCCACCUCUUCCUCCCCAGCUCGUGGGAAAGACCUAGCCUCCUCUCCAACACUUGGAGAGGGAGUUGGAUGAACGUCUCCUAACCCCAGUAGGACAGAGAUCCUGAGGUAGGAGGGGACCCCUUGCCUUGCUGCUUCUUUUGGCACCGCUGACCCGGGCCCAGGACUCCUCGCUCCUCCUGGAAGGCCUGGGUCGUGUAGCCCACAGAGGUGGCCACGUGGGCAUCUCCCCCACUGCUCCUCAUAGAACCGGAGGCAUUAUCCUGCCGGGCCCACUCUUACCCAUGAAAGAAACUUGGGAAAUGCUCCCGGGGAAGCCGGGGAUCUGGGCGCUCGACCACUUCGGUGUGAAUCUUCCGUCCGCUCAUCCUUCCUUCGGAGGGUCUUGGGGAGAGGAGAAAUGCUCAAGGACGAUGCGCUUUGCAGCGUCUCAAGGGAAACUAGAUCUCAACGGAUACCAGAAGUCUGGAGCGUCUUCCUGGAGGAAGGCGGCCCGAGGCCUGCGGUUGCAGGGAGGCUUGCGGAGCACAGCGCCCUCUCUCAGCCUGAGCUAUCCAGUGGCUUCCAGCAUCCCAGCUGGCCGACUCCACUUCCUCUCUCUUCCUCCUACUGCGGGUCUUCUUCUUCUCUUUGGGGACCGAAUCUCGCUCUGUCGCCCAGGCUGGAGUGCAGUGGCGCGAUCUCGGCUUACUGCAACCUCCGCCUCCCGGGUUGAAGCGAUUCUCCUGCCUCAGCCUCCCGAAUAGCUGGGACUACAGGCGCGUGCCACCACGCCCGGCUAAUUUUUUGUAUUUUUAGUUGAGACGGGGUUUCACCCUGUUAGCCAGGAUGGUCUCGAUCUCCUGGCCUCUUGAUCCGCCCGCCUCGGCCUCCCAAAGUGCUGGGAUUACAGGCGUGAGCCUCCGCGCCCGGCCUACUGCGGCUCUUCUAUCCUGGUGUUCUUUGAAUGCCUAUCUUCCUUUUGUGCCACAGAACCUCUCACGCCCGCCACAGGUUGCUCAUUUCCUUGGUUGUUCUGAACUUUAAAUAAGUUAAUGUAUGUAAGAGUGCCAUAAAUGCUCAGUAAUUGACAUCUGUUAUUUUCAUCAGUAACAUCAUCUGAAUCAUCUGUAUUGUCUAUUUUUAACAACUGCAUUUUUCAUUGUCCAAAUAAAGUCACAUACAUUUGAACAUUAUAUAAUGAUUGAAUAAUAAAAUUAUUCUGCUAUUUUACAAUAAAAA